AUGUCGUACUUCUACAGAUCUGAGCAAACGGCGAGACUUCUCCUGAUGAUGUGUGUGUGGGGAAUCUUCCCUCUGCCGGCAGAGCAGUACCCUGUUCGAGAGGGUUUCAGUCUGCUGCUGUAUCCGUUGUCGGUGAUGGGGCCGUACGGAUCUCACACGGUUCUGAUACCAGUGACCGGGACUGAGCAGAACACACAACGCAGCCAAAAUCUGCAGGCAAACAACAGCAAGAUCAGCGCUCAAAGUGUGUCCAAGCUUUUACAUGCAAACAGUGCAUUUCCCCAGCCGGACCCUGGCCAUGGCCCUGCCCUGGACUCUGCUCCCAGCCCCGCUCCUGACCUUCACACAGUCCCAUCGGAGUCUUUGGUUAUGCGGGGGCAGAUAUCAAAUUUUGUCCCUUCAAACGUCCCUCUGCAGGUCUAUUCAUUUGUCCAGCAGGCUGUAAUUGUAAGUGUUUGAACAAUUUCACAUCAGAUAAAAUAUGCUUAUAAAUUGAAUUAAGACAUUGAUUCAUUUUUAUUUCAGUUAGACUCAGGCAGUUCAGAGGAAGGAGCUGCUGCUCAGGUAAACACACACACACACACACAAGAUUCAUUCACCUACACAUCAUUUAAAACUUUCUUCUGUGAAACAUGAGAUGUUUAGCCGAAUGUUCAUGCUGCUCUUUUUCCUCUGAUUAAAAGCAGACAGUGACCACACCAAAAAUUACAAAAAAAUAUUUAAAUAUAAUGACAAUAUUCAACUUGUGUACUCUAUUACAAUUGGGUUAGCUAUUCCCUUCACCUCUUCCCUUAAAGACACAGUGGUGAUAGUUUAUGGAUUGGUCCAUGACGAGAUGUCGCCUCUCAUUUUCUCAGGUGAUUUAUAUGGUUCCUAUCAGCGUGGAUUCACCCAACGUGAGUGUGAUGGAGGGCACCGUGCCCAAUCCUGACCCAGGACACCUGCAGAUCCCAGCCAGCACCCCUGCUGUGGCCACUGCGGCACGACCGGACGCUCAGGGACAGCUGGGGAAAACUGUGGGGACAGAAAGAGCCACGCAGACACGCUCUGGGAGUGAAAGGCCUCUGACCACAAGCACUCCACAGGAAACACAUCAGCUGUCAAGAAAAUGAAAGGCCAUUCACUGAUGCUUGGAAACUGUUGUGUGCGGAAUUGUAAAAUAACUUCAGCCAUAAAACAGCUCUAUAGUCAAUGUGGUGUCAUUAUUCAGUGAGCUCAUUUAUUAGUUUCAGCUGAUCAUAGCUUAAUCUAUACAAUGAAUAUUAGAUUUCUUUUAAGCCCCAGAUCAUAUCAUAUUAAAUUCUCUUUACUGUGACUGUAGUUCAGAAGUGCUCCCAACAAUCAUCAACGUUUAAAUCCAACUCUCCUGUUAGACUUUAUACUUUGGAUAUGAAAAAGAGGCAAGUUACAAAGAAACACUGAGGUUUUAAUUUAUUUAAGGCAACAGAGGAGGUGAAUU
ensembl:lncRNA